UGGCUCAGUUGGUAAAGAAUCUGUCUGCAAUGCAGGAGACCCAGGUUCAAUCCCUGG
rnacentral:tRNA from 1 species